GUUCUGGAGAAUCAUGGAAUCGUUUGGGUUGGGAAAGAGCUCCAAGAUCAUUGAUUCCAGGCAAUAAUCUGGCCUGGAUCCUUGGAGAAUGGCGCUUCCCCCUGCACUUGCAGAGGCCAAACAGGGCCUGGUCCUGUUUUUGGGAUGGAUCUCCAAGCGGAGGGAAGCGGCCGGACAUUGGGAUGAGCAUCGGGUCACGGCAAAGGGGGAAAAGGAAUUUAAAUUCCUCUUAGGGGCUGAAGCUAACAGCGCUCCGAGCUGCUCGCCUUCCUUAAAUCCCAUAAAAUCCAACGAAGCAGGGCAGGAUCUCUGCCCCGAGUGGGGAAAACCAGCUCGGAUCAAAACGGAGCCUCAGAAAUCAUGAUUAAUAUCUAACACAAAAGAACCGAAAUUGUCACCAUCAGGAACAAGGAGCUAUUUAAGGAACAAUUGCUGCAAUUUUCCAGCCAACCCAGCAGCUGAACCUUGUCAGGCACAGGCAGGUACGGCUCCAGCCAGCUCCUGAUGCGGCACUGGGAUGGACACAGCUGGACAGACGGACGGACCUGUGCCUGGAGCCAGGUAAACCCACAGCCAGGGACAUGCCGGAGCCCCCAGGUACCUGAGGGCAUCUCUCACCCCCUGCACCGUUCCCACUGCCCACCCUCUGCGUGUCCCACCCCCACCAGGACACCCCGGGAUCUGGGGGUGGUCCUGGGGACCGUCUGACCCUCCAGCAGCUCCGCAUGCCCCCAGCCCAUCCUCACAUUAGGAUGCGGCGCAUGGCCGGCAUUUGGAUACCAAAUGUGCAACCAGCAGGGAAUGUAAUUGCGGUCCCUGGAAAGGGACAGGCGGAGACGGAGACGGGCACGGAGAGAGAAUCCUGUCAGCGACGCCGGCCCGGUGGUGUCUGCUCUCCAUUAACCACUCGCCGCAGCCCUGGGCUGGUGAGGAAUUGCUAACACGGCUUAACGGGCUGGAAAAGAGGGGUGGGAAGGGCUGGGAGUGAUCUCGGCACAAAGGGAGAACAGAAGGAGGAAAACUAAAAGAGCAGAGAUUGCACAGGAUGAGGCCGAGCGCUGGCACACCCAAACACCCGGCACCGCUCUGGCACCCCGAGAGGGGACUCGGCCCGAUGGUGACACAGGAACAACCCGAGUGCCAGGGCUAAAUUCACAUUAAAAUCACUCCAAGGGGGGAGCGGGGCAUGAUUCUUUCAGAGGCUGAUGUGGGCCCCAGUACGAUGCCCGUGGGAGCAGAGAGGGAGGACACAGAGAACUGGGGACAUGUAGCAAUGGGGGUGACCCCAAAAGUCCCAGCCAGAGCCAGGACACAGAGGUUUGGGGAUCCAGCCCCACUCCAACAUGGAGACAUGGGUGGGAUCCCCCCAAGCUGAGCCCUCUUGCUCAGCCACCCCUCUGCAGCACCAAAUUGCCCUGGAAAAAUCAUCGUCUUUGCUCCCUUGAUGGGGAGGUGGCACACACAACCACCAGCGGCCUGGCCACAGCCCCUCGUGACACACAGGUGGGCAAGUUGGCCCUGGCUUGGGUGGUCAGUGGGUCACGGUCACGGCCAUGGCUUUCCUGGCCACGGGCACCAAGCUCUGGGCUCUCGGACAAAGCACCAGCAACCGGCAGGCGCCGGGGCUGCAGCUCCAGGAGAUGGGAAUGCAGGAAAAAAAGGGAACAAAAUCCAAUGGGAUUGGGAACACAAUCCAAAUCCCCUCCAAGAUGUGCCCCCUUCACCCCAACCCCACCACCCCUGUGGCACGGGCACCUUGCCUCUCAAAGGACCCCCCAAAGUCCUGCCCUGCCGUCAACCGCUGGCCCCGAGCAUCACCGAGCUCUGCAAAUCCCCCUGCUAGGAACCAUUUCUCCGGUUCCCGAUCCCAGGAUUGGGGAGUGCAGAGGAGCAGAACAGAAAUCCCAGCUGUGCUCACAAACCACACUGAAAAAUAAUACAGAAAUCAGCAAAAGAACCGUUCGGAGGCAGCGCCGUGACCUCAGCGUUAAACCAGGCCACGGGCACGAUCCCGCCCGGUCCCAGGGAUCUGUGCCGUGAACGGAGGGAGGAAAACCCCUGGCACUUUGCACAUUCCCGCUGUGGAUCCAGCACACGGCAGUGACAGCGGGAUUGCUGCAGGAACACCGACCAGCAUUCGGGAAUGACGAUUCCCUGCCUGUCACCCGGCUGUCAGCAGAGCGGGGGACGGGAACAAAUCCCAAACCCUCUGCCCUUCCUCGGCCUUCCAGCAUGGCCAUGAGGCCACAGGUCAGGAUCACAGGACUGGAGACCUUCUGAGGACAGGUCACUCCUUCCCACAGACCUUUUCACCCGUAGCACAGAGGUUUUCCCAAAUCCCUGAUUUUUUGCCGCGUGUUGCGGUGCCGCGCGCAGAGACAUCCACCCUAAACCUGCUGUGCUGUGGGGGGCAAUGGGGGCCAAAACUGGACACCCCAACCCUCUGGUGAUGCUGCACACUCCAGGACACCCGGAUCGACCCGCUUGGCUCCCAAGGCAGAUCCACCCUGGAAUCCUACGGGCGAGCGGCUCCCGCACCACCAGCUGGAAAACACGGAGUGACGGCGGGGAGAGCCCUGCUUGUGCUGCCGGACCCCUGCCCACCGUGCUGGACCCCUGCCCGUGGUGCCAGACCUGGGAAGAGCCCCAAGAUCCCAUCCAUGGAUGGCAUCCACGACCAAUGGAUCCACCCGCACCCGGCCCGGCCACAGCCAACGGAUUCACACCCGGAGAGCGACCAUCGGCAGCGCCUGUACGUGCCACGGAGCAAAAAUCCACACUUCCACACGGUACCGAAACUGCCCGUUAUUAUAUAAUUCCACGUUCAUCAUCCUUCGUUUUUUUCCCGGAUAACCCAGGAGUUCCAUCCAGCCAAACGGUUUCCCAGCGCAUCCUCAUGAAACCAUUUAAAAAUAAAAAUAAACCUUGUAAAUCCA